rnacentral:rRNA from 1 species
AGUGAACGCUGGUGGCGUGCUUAACACAUGCAAGUCGAACGAGAACGGAUUAUAGCUUGCUAUAAUUGUCAGCUAAGUGGCGCACGGGUGAGUAAUGUAUAGGUAAUAUGCCUUUUACUAAGGAAUAACAAAUGGAAACGUUUGCUAAUACCUUAUACUCCUUAUUAACCUAAGUUAAUAAGGGAAAGAUUUAUUGGUAAGAGAUUAGCCUGUAUUGUAUCAGUUAGUUGGUGGGGUAAUGGCUUACCAAGACUAUGACACAUAACUGGUUUGAGAGGAUGAUCAGUCACACUGGAACUGAGACACGGUCCAGACUCCUACGGGAGGCAGCAGUGGGGAAUAUUGCACAAUGGACGGAAGUCUGAUGCAGCAACGCCGCGUGGAGGAUGACACAUUUCAGUGCGUAAACUCCUUUUAUAUGAGAAGAUAAUGACGGUAUUAUAUGAAUAAGCACCGGCUAACUCCGUGCCAGCCGCCGCUGUAAUAC